UACAGAGGUCUCAAGCGUUGUUCGGAUUCAUUGGGCGUAAAGGGUGCGUAGGCGGCGCGGUAAGUCGGGUGUGAAAUCUCGGGGCUUAACUCCGAAACUGCAUUCGAUACUACCGUGCUUGAGGACUGGAGAGGAGACUGGAAUUUACGGUGUAGCAGUGAAAUGCGUAGAUAUCGUAAGGAAGACCAGUGGCGAAGGCGGGUCUCUGGACAAUUCCUGACGCUGAGACACGAAGGCCAGGGGAGCAAACGGG
rnacentral:rRNA from 1 species